rnacentral:rRNA from 1 species
AACGAACGCUGGCGGCAGGCUUAACACAUGCAAGUCGAACGCACCUUUCGGGGUGAGUGGCAGACGGGUGAGUAACGCGUGGGAAUCUACCCUUCUCUACGGGAUAGCUCCGGGAAACUGGAAUUAAUACCGUAUACGUCCUGAGGGAGAAAGAUUUAUCGGGGAAGGAUGAGCCCGCGUUGGAUUAGCUAGUUGGUGGGGUAAAGGCCUACCAAGGCGACGAUCCAUAGCUGGUCUAAGAGGAUGAUCAGCCACAUUGGGACUGAGACACGGCCCAGACUCCUACGGGAGGCAGCAGUGGGGAAUAUUGGACAAUGGGCGCAAGCCUGAUCCAGCCAUGCCGCGUGAGUGAUGAAGGCCCUAGGGUUGUAAAGCUCUUUCAGUGGGGACGAUAAUGACGGUACCCACAGAAGAAGCCCCGGCUAACUUCGUG